GUAGGUGGCAAGCGUUGUCCGGAAUUAUUGGGCGUAAAGCGCGCGCAGGCGGUUCUUUAAGUCUGAUGUGAAAGCCCACGGCUCAACCGUGGAGGGUCAUUGGAAACUGGAGAACUUGAGUACAGAAGAGGAAAGCGGAAUUCCACGUGUAGCGGUGAAAUGCGUAGAGAUGUGGAGGAACAUCAGUGGCGAAGGCGGCUUUCUGGUCUGUAACUGACGCUGAGGCGCGAAAGCGUGGGGGAGCAAACAGGAUUAGAUACCCUGGUAGUCCACGCCGUAAACGAUGAGUGCUAAGUGUUAGGGGGUUUUCCGCCCCUUAGUGCUGCAGCUAACGCAUUAAGCACUCCGCCUGGGAGUACGGCCGCAAGGCUG
rnacentral:rRNA from 1 species